rnacentral:rRNA from 1 species
AUGCGAAGGAACAGAAGCCUUGAAAGAGGGCCACAAGACGCCUGGGAAAAAUGUAGCGGCCAUCGCCUUCCGGCGCAAUCGGACUCCGAACUGACGUCGUACAUCUACCCAUAUGCAAUCAUGCAUGCAUGUCUAGGGUGGUCUUUCCAUGUUUAUGCUGUGAAGUGGUUAACUGUUUGGGUCUUGUUGGAGCCGGCCUGCUUUUGUUCAUUAGAAGUGAUGAAUGUAUGUGUAUACUUCUUCAAAAACAGAAGUACAAGUGUUGUUACAUGGAAUCCUUCAUGGAACGUACUAGCAAAUCGACUUCAUAGUUCUUUAUGUAGCUGUUGA